rnacentral:rRNA from 1 species
GACAGAGGGUGCAAACGUUGCUCGGAAUUACUGGGCGUAAAGCGCGUGUAGGCGGUCCAGUCAGUCCGCUGUGAAAGUCCAGGGCUCAACCCUGGGAUGCCGGUGGAUACUGUCGGGCUCGAGUCCGGAAGAGGCGAGUGGAAUUCCUGGUGUAGCGGUGAAAUGCGCAGAUAUCAGGAGGAACACCAGUGGCGAAGGCGAGUCCCUGGACAACACCUGACGCUGAGGCACGAAAGCUAGGGGAGCAAACAGG